AACGGUCUAUACCUGCGGUACCUGCGGAAGGAUCAUUACCGAGUUAUCAACUCCCAAACCCCUGUGAACAUACCCGAACGUUGCCUCGGCGGGACCGCCCCGGCGCCCCUAGCGGCCCGGAACCAGGCGCCCGCCGGAGGACCCAAACUCUUGCUUUAAACAGUGGCAUACUCUCUGAGUCUCACAAACAAAAAAUAAAUCAAAACUUUCAGCAACGGAUCUCUAGAUCGGAAGGGCACA
rnacentral:misc_RNA from 1 species